rnacentral:rRNA from 1 species
ACGCUGGCGGCAGGCCUAACACAUGCAAGUCGAGCGGAAACGACACUAACAAUCCUUCGGGUGCGUUAAUGGGCGUCGAGCGGCGGACGGGUGAGUAAUGCCUAGGAAAUUGCCUUGAUGUGGGGGAUAACCAUUGGAAACGAUGGCUAAUACCGCAUAAUGCCUACGGGCCAAAGAGGGGGACCUUCGGGCCUCUCGCGUCAAGAUAUGCCUAGGUGGGAUUAGCUAGUUGGUGAGGUAAUGGCUCACCAAGGCGACGAUCCCUAGCUGGUCUGAGAGGAUGAUCAGCCACACUGGAACUGAGACACGGUCCAGACUCCUACGGGAGGCAGCAGUGGGGAAUAUUGCACAAUGGGCGAAAGCCUGAUGCAGCCAUGCCGCGUGUAUGAAGAAGGCCUUCGGGUUGUAAAGUACUUUCAGUUGUGAGGAAGGGUGUGUAGUUAAUAGCUGCAUAUCUUGACGUUAGCAACAGAAGAAGCACCGGCUAACUCCGUGCCAGCAGCCGCGGUAAUACGGAGGGUGCGAGCGUUAAUCGGAAUUACUGGGCGUAAAGCGCAUGCAGGUGGUUCAUUAAGUCAGAUGUGAAAGCCCGGGGCUCAACCUCGGAACUGCAUUUGAAACUGGUGAACUAGAGUGCUGUAGAGGGGGGUAGAAUUUCAGGUGUAGCGGUGAAAUGCGUAGAGAUCUGAAGGAAUACCAGUGGCGAAGGCGGCCCCCUGGACA